GCCGAAAUAGCUCAGUUGGGAGAGCGUUAGACUGAAGAUCUAAAGGUCCCUGGUUCGAUCCUUGGUAUCGGCG
rnacentral:tRNA from 1 species